rnacentral:lncRNA from 1 species
GGCAAAAUGGACUCAGAGACAGACAAACCUGGAUUGAAAUCCUUGCUCCACCACUUUCUAGCCGUGUGUCUUUGGCAGGUUGAGAAACUUCUUGGAGCCUGGAGCCUGAACUUCCUCAUUUAUAAUGGGAAUAAUAACCAGUACUCUGAAGAUGUACCGUAAAAAUGAGAGGUAACAUGUAAUAUGCCUAGGACACAGCUUGAUAAGAGAAGGCAUUCCACAGACAAUAACCAUGAUAAUUGAGGGGCCUUCGAGUGAAUUGGUUUCCUUGAGCUGGAUCACAAAUGCCACCAUUCCCUCAAGACACGGGUCUGUUAAAAGUGAGUUUAUGAACCUGCAAAGCUGUGCAUUCUUUUACAGACACCCCUGAGACUCAGCCAAAAAUAGGCUGCCACUUUCAAGAAUCUCCACUGUAGUACAAAGCCUUCCUUAGAGUUUAGUAGCAGGCAUUGUUCUAAGCAGGAAUUUUCAACAUUCUUAUUGCCCAAAACCCCAUGACACUGUGUUUCGAGACUCUUGUAUAUCAAACAGAUGAUACUUAUUAAAUAAUAAACUUAUUUUCCCACUCUUUAUUACUUUAAGGCAUAAAUAAUUUUCUCACAUAGGUUUUGAAUUGACAUCAUUCAUUCAUCAAUAAGUAUCUGUGGACUACAAUGUGUUACAUGCUGGGAUUACAGUGUGGGCCAGGACUUGAUCCUUGCUCACAGUUUGAUGAGGAGACACACAAGUAAAGGACUGAAGAAUGGUGAGAGAUAGUCAAAGAAGAAGACAUAGGAAGAAUGCUUUGGGUAAAGGGAACAACACAUGCAAGGCUUCAAGUGUCCUUGCUGUUGCUUUUACAUUAACUUCCCCAAAGGCGCCAGACUCACGAGUAGAGCCUGUGGUUUCAAACCCAAGUCUAUUACUCUGCAAAGCCGAAGCUCUUAAACAUGACUAUCCUGUUGACUAUCGGCCACUUGACAAUGUUAGCCAACAUCAAGCUGAUGCCAAAACAACUUCCUAGAAAACCAAAAGCCAAAACAAAACAGGUCAGCCCAUUUAAUGUACUCAGCCACAGGCAACCAUCCUAAACUGAUUCUUGGAUUGAAAUUCCUGAGUGUAUCACAUUACAAAAAGCAUUUCCUAGGUGAAAAUGGCUGAGCGUUUUCUCAGACCAAUCAAAGCUGCCUGCUCACCAUAAAUAUGCUUUAUUUAUUUGUUUAUUUAUUUAGUAUGCCAUUUGUGGUAUAAACAACCC